GGGUUGUGAGGUUAAGCGACUAAGCGUACACGGUGGAUGCCCUGGCAGUCAGAGGCGAUGAAGGACGUGCUAAUCUGCGAUAAGCGCCGGUAAGGUGAUAUGAACCGUUAUAACCGGCGAUUUCCGAAUGGGGAAACCCAGUGUGACUCGUCACACUAUCAUUAACUGAAUCCAUAGGUUAAUGAGGCGAACCGGGGGAACUGAAACAUCUAAGUACCCCGAGGAAAAGAAAUCAACCGAGAUUCCCCCAGUAGCGGCGAGCGAACGGGGAGGAGCCCAGAGCCUGAAUCAGCAUGUGUGUUAGUGGAAGCGUCUGGAAAGGCGCGCGAUACAGGGUGACAGCCCCGUACACAAAAGCGCAUGUGCUGUGAGCUCGAUGAGUAGGGCGGGACACGUGGUAUCCUGUCUGAAUAUGGGGGGACCAUCCUCCAAGGCUAAAUACUCCUGACUGACCGAUAGUGAACCAGUACCGUGAGGGAAAGGCGAAAAGAACCCCGGCGAGGGGAGUGAAAAAGAACCUGAAACCGUGUACGUACAAGCAGUGGGAGCCUCUUUAUGGGGUGACUGCGUACCUUUUGUAUAAUGGGUCAGCGACUUAUAUUCUGUAGCAAGGUUAACCGAAUAGGGGAGCCGGAGGGAAACCGAGUCUUAACCGGGCGUUAAGUUGCAGGGUAUAGACCCGAAACCCGGUGAUCUAGCCAUGGGCAGGUUGAAGGUUGGGUAACACUAACUGGAGGACCGAACCGACUAAUGUUGAAAAAUUAGCGGAUGACCUGUGGCUGGGGGUGAAAGGCCAAUCAAACCGGGAGAUAGCUGGUUCUCCCCGAAAGCUAUUUAGGUAGCGCCUCGUGAAUUCAUCUCCGGGGGUAGAGCACUGUUUCGGCUAGGGGGCCAUCCCGGCUUACCAACCCGAUGCAAACUGCGAAUACCGGAGAAUGUUAUCACGGGAGACACACGGCGGGUGCUAACGUCCGUCGUGAAGAGGGAAACAACCCAGACCGCCAGCUAAGGUCCCAAAGUCAUGGUUAAGUGGGAAACGAUGUGGGAAGGCCCAGACAGCCAGGAUGUUGGCUUAGAAGCAGCCAUCAUUUAAAGAAAGCGUAAUAGCUCACUGGUCGAGUCGGCCUGCGCGGAAGAUGUAACGGGGCUAAACCAUGCACCGAAGCUGCGGCAGCGACACUGUGUGUUGUUGGGUAGGGGAGCGUUCUGUAAGCCUGUGAAGGUGGCCUGUGAGGGUUGCUGGAGGUAUCAGAAGUGCGAAUGCUGACAUAAGUAACGAUAAAGCGGGUGAAAAGCCCGCUCGCCGGAAGACCAAGGGUUCCUGUCCAACGUUAAUCGGGGCAGGGUGAGUCGACCCCUAAGGCGAGGCCGAAAGGCGUAGUCGAUGGGAAACGGGUUAAUAUUCCCGUACUUGGUGUUACUGCGAAGGGGGGACGGAGAAGGCUAUGUUGGCCGGGCGACGGUUGUCCCGGUUUAAGCGUGUAGGUGUGUGUUCCAGGUAAAUCCGGUUCACUUUAACACUGAGGCGUGACGACGAGGCACUACGGUGCUGAAGCAACAAAUGCCCUGCUUCCAGGAAAAGCCUCUAAGCAUCAGGUAACAUCAAAUCGUACCCCAAACCGACACAGGUGGUCAGGUAGAGAAUACCAAGGCGCUUGAGAGAACUCGGGUGAAGGAACUAGGCAAAAUGGUGCCGUAACUUCGGGAGAAGGCACGCUGACACGUAGGUGAAGUGAUUUACUCACGGAGCUGAAGUCAGUCGAAGAUACCAGCUGGCUGCAACUGUUUAUUAAAAACACAGCACUGUGCAAACACGAAAGUGGACGUAUACGGUGUGACGCCUGCCCGGUGCCGGAAGGUUAAUUGAUGGGGUCAGCGCAAGCGAAGCUCCUGAUCGAAGCCCCGGUAAACGGCGGCCGUAACUAUAACGGUCCUAAGGUAGCGAAAUUCCUUGUCGGGUAAGUUCCGACCUGCACGAAUGGCGUAAUGAUGGCCAGGCUGUCUCCACCCGAGACUCAGUGAAAUUGAACUCGCUGUGAAGAUGCAGUGUACCCGCGGCAAGACGGAAAGACCCCGUGAACCUUUACUAUAGCUUGACACUGAACAUUGAGCCUUGAUGUGUAGGAUAGGUGGGAGGCUUUGAAGUGUGGACGCCAGUCUGCAUGGAGCCGACCUUGAAAUACCACCCUUUAAUGUUUGAUGUUCUAACGUGGACCCGUGAUCCGGGUUGCGGACAGUGUCUGGUGGGUAGUUUGACUGGGGCGGUCUCCUCCUAAAGAGUAACGGAGGAGCACGAAGGUUGGCUAAUCCUGGUCGGACAUCAGGAGGUUAGUGCAAUGGCAUAAGCCAGCUUGACUGCGAGCGUGACGGCGCGAGCAGGUGCGAAAGCAGGUCAUAGUGAUCCGGUGGUUCUGAAUGGAAGGGCCAUCGCUCAACGGAUAAAAGGUACUCCGGGGAUAACAGGCUGAUACCGCCCAAGAGUUCAUAUCGACGGCGGUGUUUGGCACCUCGAUGUCGGCUCAUCACAUCCUGGGGCUGAAGUAGGUCCCAAGGGUAUGGCUGUUCGCCAUUUAAAGUGGUACGCGAGCUGGGUUUAGAACGUCGUGAGACAGUUCGGUCCCUAUCUGCCGUGGGCGCUGGAGAACUGAGGGGGGCUGCUCCUAGUACGAGAGGACCGGAGUGGACGCAUCACUGGUGUUCGGGUUGUCAUGCCAAUGGCACUGCCCGGUAGCUAAAUGCGGAAGAGAUAAGUGCUGAAAGCAUCUAAGCACGAAACUUGCCCCGAGAUGAGUUCUCCCUGAGACUUAGAGUCUCCUGAAGGAACGUUGAAGACGACGACGUUGAUAGGCCGGGUGUGUAAGCGCAGCGAUGCGUUGAGCUAACCGGUACUAAUGAACCGUGAGGCUUAACCUUAC
rnacentral:rRNA from 2 species